rnacentral:rRNA from 1 species
UACGAAGGGGGCUAGCGUUGCUCGGAAUCACUGGGCGUAAAGCGCGUGUAGGCGGCUGCGCAAGUCGGAUGUGAAAUCCCAUGGCUCAACCAUGGAAGUGCACCCGAAACUGCGUAGCUAGAGUCUCGGAGAGGAAGGCGGAAUGCUUGGUGUAGAGGUGAAAUUCGUAGAUAUCAAGCGGAACACCGGUGGACGAAGGCGGCCUUCUGGACGAUGACUGACGCUGAGACGCGAAAGCGUGGGGAGCAAACAGG